CCUUUGGUAGCUCAACUGGUAGAGUGGAGGACUGUAGUACAUCCCAGUUUAGUCAUCCGUAGGUCGCUGGUUUGAUACUGGCUCAAAGGA
rnacentral:tRNA from 1 species